UUCUGCAGUUGGGGAAAGCGAGGCGCAGAGGAGGGUUAAGGGACCUCCUCACUGUCCCGGCCAGGGAGGGGCGGAUCCGCACUCCAACCCGCCUCUGUCAGGCUGGGCCUCUAAGCCGGGCCGUCCGCGCAGAGUCCGGGCGGAGCUGGGGGGUGUGGGGGGAAUGCUCGGGGCAGGAUCCGCUCCCGCGAUUAGCUCUGGGAGCGAAGUGGGAAGGGGCAGGGCGGGGCUGCAGAAGUCGGGACCCUCGAAUGGGAUCCGAGCCCGUGUGGCUACGCGAGGGGGAAGCCACCUGGGCUGCGUGGCUCCGGGGCGAACUGGGUGGGAUGGGAUUCGUAAAAAGAACUGGGUGGGUGAGAGGGAGCCAGUUUGAAACUCACUUUCCUCCUUUAUUUAUUUUAUUUUUAAAUUUGUGGCAGGGUGUUUGAAGAAAACAAGAAAACCACCCUCAUCCAGGAAACAACAACAACAAAGAGUUUUCUCUCUCUCUCUCUCUCAGUCUCCAGGGUCUCACUCCUGUCGCCUAAGGCUAGAGUGUAGUGCCGCGAUCUCGGCGCACCUGCGGCCUCGACUUCUCAGGCUCAAGCGAUCCUCCCACCUCAGCCUCCUGAAUAGCUGGGACUACAGGCGCAUUCCACCACGCCCGGCUAUUUUUUUUGUAUUUUUAGUAGAGACGGGGCUUCGUCCUGUUGUCGAGGUUGGUCUCGAACUCCUGGCCUUAAGCAAUCCACCCUCCUCGGCCUCCCAAAGUGCUGGGCCUCCUUCUUUUCUUGUUGAGGUUCCCAUACGUGACUCGCCCAAAGAGAGAUUCUCACCGGGUGGGUCUGAGCAGCGCCAGAAAGGGAAGGGAUACAGGGUGAGAGAGAUUUGGGGUAAAGGGAGAGGGAGGCAGAGGGGGAAGGGGGCCCCAGGCCGGUCAGUUCCAAGAGGCGAGCCCCGCCGGCCGAGCUCCACGGGCUGAGUCAACAGCGGCCCAGUUGCUUUGUAAUUUACAAGAGGGACUCCGAAUGGUACUUUGUAAUUUGGUGUCGGUUUACAAGGCAAAGGACUUCUGUUUCCUCACCUCACCAGGUCCUCAGUCACGGCCUGACCCCUUUUAAGAGAGGGACCUCAAGAGGGGAGCUGAAUUCCUUGAGCCCUCGCCUUUCAAUCAAGUUUUCAAGGCACGCUUUGGCCGGGCCCUCCCGGACUGGCUGUGCUGCUACCUCCAGAGGAAAUCAACGUCUGUACCGAACUCCUAACCUGUGAAGACCUGCUGUCCUCAUAAUUGCGGAGUGGGGCCAAGGAAGGCUACUCUUUCCCCUUUGCAGAUGAGGCAACUGAGGCAACUGAGCCGCAGAAAACUAACUGACCAAGAUCACCCAGCCAGUGGAACAAACAGCUCGAGCCCAGGCUCUCUGGCUCCUAUUCCCUCUGAAUAUUUAAUUUACUAAACUGUUUGAGCAGCCGUAGAUUCCCUUCACAAUCCGGUAAAAUCUAUAAUUACUCCUCCCCUUCCCCAAAAUGUACUUAUUUUCCCAUUCAAUAUCGGAGCUUCUCGGACUUCCUGAAGUUAGUCCCAGGAUAAAGAUCCUCUUUCUCCUCCCCCUUGCCCCGCCCCACGACCUCGCUUCCCAGUAAUUGCUGGGAUCCCGAUUCUCUGGAGGCAUUCCGGGCGGAUUGAUUGAGUGUAAUUCAACUGAGUUAUGAUUACAGCUGCUGGUUCCCCUGUGCCGCAGACGGGUGUGUAGGGAGGGUGGGGCACGUGGAGAUGGGCAAGAUGUCUGGAGAGAGCAGUGGGGCUGUUGUGCACGUUUUUGCUAGAGGUGAGGGUUGAGAGCUAGGGAGGAAACAAUUCCGAGCCCACCCCGCUGGGACCCACGGGCUGAGGUCCUCCAGGUACUCACAUCAGAAGGGGUGCAGGGGAAUAAAAUUUA
rnacentral:lncRNA from 10 species